CUUCCUUCUCCUCCACCGAUUACCCCUCUUCCUCAUUUCCCCUCUUCCUCUCCCUCACUCGCCGCCUCUCCCGAACACCCAUCGCCGCAGAUCAACCGGCUCCGACGUCGAUGAGCCCCAAUUGUCAGCCGCCCAGACCACUAGCGCCUGUCCACCCGGAACCUCCCGACAUCUCUUGCUCGCCUGAUCUUGAUUUCCAGUCGCCGACUCUGUUCUUUUCCCCAUUAUCGCCGGUGCCGAUCCACGUCAACGUCCGACACCAUUGCUCCUCCACACGAUGCCAGAUCGGUGAUGCUGUUGUCGUCUCUGUCGCGAGGGUGAGCCUUUGGAUUCCUCUCGAUUUUGCCCGAUGUCGCCGCCCUAUUCGAUCGUGCCCUAGCUCCGGAUUUCCGUUCCCAUCACGUAGCCGGCAGUAGGAUAGCAAGGCUAGGAAGGGCACCAAAUGACCGGGGAGAGCCGAUCCAUCGCCGGCAGCCAGAUCCUCUUCCACCUCUGGCCACAAGUGCAAGAAAUGCUGAUCCACCGCUGCUCCCCUUUCUUUCUCCUGAUCACCGAGAGCUCUUCUUGUUCCUGAUUUCCAGCCAAUCUUUGCUUAGCUUGGCUCUCCACUAACAGUUAUUCUUGGGAGCCAGAUACUUCUGCCGGUAGGCCAUCUCUUCGCUAUCACUGGCCAUGAUUGAGGGAGGAGGGCAUCUAUCAGGAGGGAAUCUCUAUUCCUUCACAACAAUGACUAGGAUCAUCAUUGAAUGGUGAUGGGCUUACAUGGAGAGUUUCCUCUUCAUCGCAGUAACCUCUGCAUAUUUGGAUUGAAGGAUGGUUGAUCAUUGUAGCUUUGGCCAUGGAUUUCUACAGCUUUGCUCGGGCCACAGUAGCUUCACCAGCAUCUAGUCUUGAUGGGUGUUUCAACUGAUCACAAUGAGAUGCCACGUGCAGGUAGUUCGAUGUUUGAUUUAGGUAACAAACUGAUUAAUUAGUUGAUAAGUUUACAUCUUGUUGAUAACCUUGGAACGAUUGGGAAUUUAUAAAUCUAUUGAUUUGGGAUUUAUAUCAAAUUUGGAAUCAGUGGAUACUGGAUGAGAUUUGAUUUCAUUUUUGUUGUAGUGUGGAUAGUUGAUGGAUUGAGUUAGAUGACUGUGAUGAAUUGAUAAGGAUUUGUAUUGUACUAUGUUGGAGAUUUUGUGCUUUGGGGGUGUUUGGAUAAAUUGUGAUUGGUGGAUUUAGAAGGGUUUAUAAUGGGAUUUGAUUAAUGGAUGAAUCAGGGUAAGUUGUUACGAUGGAUUCAUGAUUAUCCUAUUCUAAUUGGGUUGUGUGAUUAAGGAGUAUUUGGAGGAUUAAUAGGGGAUCGAAUUGGAAUAGAGUUAUCCUAUUGGGUUAGAGAUUUUAUUUAGCUAUUUAAUUCUUAUGAAUUUAGCUAAAUAAAAUAUAUAUAUUGAUUGAUGCAUGGCUUUGAUAUGGGACGAUCAUCAAGAUGUGGAAGUUAUUCUGGACACGAUCUACGUAUCAAGGUAGCAGGUAAAGGGUUUAUGGAGUCGCCUGGAGAUUCUGUCCGCCAGUUCCACG